AUUGAAUGGACAUUAGAGACAGAUGUUUACACAGACCAUUGCCUCAUCUCCCACUGUCCAUUUGCCACAGUUCCUGGUAAAGAUUUCAUUGUCAAAGUCUCCCCUGUAUCAAGUCUCCUCUGCAACCAGUCUCCCCUGCAACCAGUCUCCUCUGUAACCAGUCUCCUCUGUAAACCAGUCUCCUCUGCAACCAGUCUCCUCUGCUGUGUUACUAUGACAGAGGAACAGUACAGUAAACAUCACCUACAGCCUCUUACCAUCACCUGGUGUCCUGAGGACUCUCUCUCUGCUGCUCCGUCUCACUCCACCAUUAUGUUACACUACUAAUGGUAUUAAGUGGUAAUAAUGCUCAUUUGUGUGUGUGAGACAGAGAGGGUGUACUUUCAUGCUCUAUCCACCAUGUGUUACAGUACUAAGUGUGAAGGAAUAAGCCCUUCACUACAAGGACAUUGUUUUAAUUGUGUCUAUUGCUUUAUUGGAUAAAACAAAAUGUAUGCAGAAUCCCUAUCAUGUUGACCAUUCAUCAUUCCAUGCAAUAUUAUAGCUGCAAUGUCAAUUGCACCUCUUCUGUGUUAAUUCAUUAUGUAGCUCCUGAUUGGCUAGUUAAUUGAGUGGUUGUUUGAACACAGGUGUGGUCCCUCAGACCAAAUUAUUGA
rnacentral:lncRNA from 13 species